UGGUUGUUGUUUGCACUCUGUCAUUAAUUAAUUAGAUUGAAUUCACCUGCCUACUCCUGAUUUAAGACUGCACUCCCUUACACUCAUGUUUUCAUCCUCACAUGGGGCGGCAGUUCAGCAAUGGUGUGUGCAGGUAAAAUGCAUUGAUUUUAAGCUUUACCACUAACCACCAGAGGGCGGCCUUUCUACAUAAAGUGAUGUAUAAACGGAGGAUCCCCCGUCGGUGGCCGUCUUCCUGCUCAGGUUGGAGACUCAAAGGUAUCGUUUGACAACAGAUUGAAUUCACCUGCCUACUCCUGAUUUAAGACUGCACUCCCUGACACUCAUGUUUUCAUCCUCACAUGGGGCGGCAGUUCAGUGAUGGUAAAAUGCAUUGAUUUUAAACUUUACCACUAACCACCAGAGGGCGCCCUUUCUACAUGAAGUGAUAUAUAAACGGAGGAUCCCUCGUCGGUGGCCGUCUUCCUGCUCAGGUUGGAGACUCAAAGGUUUGUUAAUGUUGUUUAAUUAUGUUCCAGGUUUUAGGUCUUAUAGAUGUUUAGACUCAGUUAUUUUAAUCAUUUGACUUCAUCCUUUUUUAAUCA